rnacentral:lncRNA from 1 species
GAGAAGCACACACACACACAAAUAUAAAAUUGAUGUAGAAGAAAAUUUCAAAGGUCAUUUUUUUCCCUGAUUAAAAUUCAUAAUAAAAUUACAACAGCUAUGUUUUUCAUCAAGGAAGUAUUUAAGCAGCUAAUUUUUAUAUAAAUAUAUUCCAUGCUAGUUCAAUAAAUUAGAAAAAGGAGCAUAAUCUUGUUAAGAUGCAAUUCAGAGGGAACAGUGGGUGGAUAGCUAUUAACAUAUGAAAGCAAUGAAUGAAUGUACUGAAUAAAUAAGCCCUAUAAAUUACUCACAGCCAACCAACAGAAUUUAGAUGACUUUUUUUUUCGUAAAUUAGGUGAGACCUUAAAAUAUUUUUCAACAUGCCAGGAAAAUUUCCUUUUGCACAUCUCAAUGGCAGUUGAGUUCCAUUGAAGUUUGGGAGUAAGGGCCAAGAUCACACACCUAUCAGGACCCUGUGACAAGGCCCUGUCAUUAUGCCAGGACUAGAUGUUCUGAUAAGCUUGUUAGUGACUCCUUCAGAAAUACCACACAAAGAAUUGCAGGUUCCUAUCAAGCAUCCAAGGACAAACAGGAUGAUCCUGCAAGCUACAAGUCUGGAUUUGGAUUUGCCAUCAUUUGCAUUAAAGGCAAAGGGAGCGUCUGGCUCUCAUUUCUCGACUGGAAGCCCUGUUUGUCUUGAGCAACUUGGCCUAACAAAGAGAAUGAGAUCAACAGGUUUCGAGUGACAUCACUGAGGCAUCCCAGGCCGUGGUAAAUGUGACAUUGAAGAAAAGUGAGAAAAAAACCUGCAGUCGUCUCUUCCCACACCAGCUUGCCACCUACAGAAAAGCAAGAGAAAACAGGAUGCUUGGGAGCAAUUUUUUCUGAUAAGUCACAUAGCGGUAGAAUUUAAGGAAUAAAAAAUUAACCAUCUAUAUCCA